rnacentral:rRNA from 1 species
GAUGAACGCUGGCGGCGUGCCCAAUACAUGCAAGUCGAGCGAACAGACGAGGAGCUUGCUCCUCUGACGUUAGCGGCGGACGGGUGAGUAACACGUGGAUAACCUACCUAUAAGACUGGGAUAACUUCGGGAGACCGGAGCUAAUACCGGAUAAUAUAUUGAACCGCAUGGUUCAAUAGUGAAAGACGGUUUUGCUGUCACUUAUAGAUUGAUCCGCGCCGCAUUAGCUAGUUGGUAAGGUAACGGCUUACCAAGGCAACGAUGCGUAGCCGACCUGAGAGGGUGAUCGGCCACACUGGAACUGAGACACGGUCCAGACUCCUACGGGAGGCAGCAGUAGGGAAUCUUCCGCAAUGGGCGAAAGCUUGACGGAGCAACGCCGCGUGAGUGAUGAAGGUCUUCGGAUCGUAAAACUCUGUUAUUAGGGAAGAACAAAUGUGUAAGUAACUAUGCACGUCUUGACGGUACCUAAUCAGAAAGCCACGGCUAACUACGUG